CCCAGAAAGGAAGAGGUUAUUCAUCUCCUUAAAAAUACAUUUCUGCUGGGGAUAUGGCUCAGUGGUAGAGCACGUGCCUAGCAUGGACAUCCCCGGCACCAAAAAAAUACAAGUAAAUAAUAAAUAACUGUCUCGUUGAGCACGUACGCUGAAUUGAGUGCUGUGCUAGGCCAGGAGACGUAAGUGAAGCAAAUAUCAAAUAUUUAUUGACUGCUUAUGCGACGUCAUGUCCUGUGUUAAGCACUCCGUGUACAUCCUGCUGCCAAGGACAGACUAGGACAGGGACUGUUUGUCGGUGCGGCUUUUUCGACUGAGAAGGAAGGAGGCUGCCGAAGCUCCGGAUGGUGUGGUGCCUCACUGCAGGUCCCUGGUGAUCACUGAGCAACCUGGGCGCAGCCUAGGGGGGCCCUCCUCCCCCCAGCUCCUGAGGCUGCUCCUCCGGGGGACGGUUGGUGGCUGGAUGACUCAGGACGAGCUGGCCCUGUGCAGCCCCACUUCUCACAUCCCAUCCUGUCCUUGGCCUAAGGAAGGACAGUGUGUAGGGGACGGAUGUGGGCUUGGAUAAUAGUGCCGCGUCACUGCUGAUCAGGAGCCUGCAUUCACUUCCUCCCAGCCACCACCUGAAGCCCGUCACAGCUACUGUCCCUGGCAGGACAGUUCCAGCCCUCUCAGCCCCACGGAAAGCAGCUGGAGUUUGUCUCCAGAACCAAAUACGCAUUUCCUUCUUGUGCUGGGCUUCCUCAGCUACCCGAGAAUGCAGUCCCUUUCUGAAGUUCUGUCCCCAGAUACCCAAGAUUUCCCCUAUGUUCCAGAGAGAAGGAGGAGCCCGCUUCCGUGAGCUCCCGCUGGGCUGGAUGUCGAGGAAGCGGUCCAGUGACCUCUUUCUUCUAUUCUGAGCUUAGGAGGAAGGGGCCAUGCUGCCAGUCCAUGAGUCAGCAGGUCCGGGACUGAACACUGUCCAGGUGGGGAAUCAGGAGAAAAACCAGCUGAAGAGUCGGUCUGUCUAAUCUGGCAAGCAGAAGGCUUGAGCGCUUGUGGGGUCCACAGAGAUCUAAAUUCAAGGAUGCUCAUUGCCACAUUCUAGGGGGAGCAACUUAACUGCCCAUCUGCAAGGGGCCGAUGAAGUCAGCAAGGACAGACCUCUCUAUAAAGGAGACUUGUGCUGCUAUUAAGUGAUGUGUCAUGCCCAUUAGGUAUGGCUGCAGAAAGGUGCUCAAAACUGUUCAGUGACUAAAGCAAGUCGUAGAACUUGCAUGUGUGUUGUGUGUGCUUCUAUAGAUGGAAAGGAUUUCUAGAAUACACCCAAGAGGCUGCUGCCUGGUUACCUUUUUUUCCUUUUUUUCUGUCAUUUUGAGACAGGAUUUGCUCUACAGUUCAAGCUGGCCUUGGAGAUUCAUGGCAAUCCUCCUGCCUCAGCCUCCUGAGUGCUGGAAUUUCAGGCAUGUGCCACCACAUCUGGCUUGGAUACUUCUGAAGAAUAGAAAUUGUGUGGGGGAAGAGUAAGAAUGAGGUUUGGAUGGGGAGUCAGAUUUUCAUUCUUCACUUUUACAUCUUUUGCACUUUAAAUGUUUUUUUAGACAGGCAGCAUGUGUUGCUUUGACAAUAGAAUGAUCACAAUUCAGUGGGAGAAAGAAAGGCUUUAGACGGUUCACAGACCAAAGGCAGCCAAUGAGUCGGUCCUGUGCUGAGGGCAGGAGAAAGACAGAGUGGGGCCUGAGAUAAUGGACGUGUCCCAAGACGCAGGAGGAACUGGCGGGACGUCACUGUAAGGCCGCUCGGUGACAGAAGACAGUGAAGCCAAGACCCACGUUUGACUCCAGGGAGAGGGACUGGAUGCCUGUUCUGACAGCGGGUAGCAUACAGUAACCAACAGAGGACUCACACAAAGAAAACCAAGAACCCAAGCAAGAGUAAGACCAGAUGAAAAGAGCUACAUGGCUCAGCUGCAGCCAGCAGCUCUCACUCGGAUCGGCCUGCUAGGACCCAGGUGUGGCGUGACAGUGGAGGACUGGCGGAGAGCUGCUUGACCAGCACCAUCUGCUUCGGGAUCUCAGCGUGCCCAGCGUUUCUCCCCCCGACUCUCUCCUUCCACGACCUCUGUAUGUUGUUGGCCCUGAAGUCCUGGACUCAGACGGGCUUCCUGACUUAACUACCCAAGGAGCUGGGAUUCCAGGGGCCUACCACUACACCCGGCAGUGAUCUGCUGUGUAGAGAGAAGCCAGAAUGACUUCCAGUAACUGUAGACGCUGAUGAUCAAAUGGUACACAUGGGCAGUUAAAGAUUUUUGCAAAGGAAGGCUGCAUAAAUUUAAGGAUAUAUUAUUGUCUCUGCCUUAUGGUUGAUCAGACUGAGGUACCGAGAAGAGGUACCAUGACCUCCCAUCUUCUGCUAGCAGGCGUUUACUGAUUGCCCGUAUUGGCCCUGAGCAUGCUGCAAAGGCCCUGGUUACUGCCCUCUGGUGCUCCAUUCCACACAGGGAGGCUGACACUAAGCAUCUAAUUACAAAUUGAAGAGACUUCUGAACCCACAGAAGAUAGAGCAGGAUUGAAGGAGGUGAACGGCAUCUCUAAACAUUAAACCCCUCUGCAGCUCAGCGGCACAGAUGCCAGUUGCAUGCACAAGUCUUUCAUGAGAGCUUGGAUGGGUCCAAGGUCAGAUCCCCACCCUUCUAAAGGGUUCAUUCACCUCCAGAGGAGAGCCUUUUAGAUAAUUCUAUUUACAAAAGGAGCCUGUUGUUUGGAGAUAGAAUGGGGAUGUGAGGACAGAAAGGAGCGCUCUGGGAGAGCAUGGUUCUCUUUAGGGUAAUCCUGGGGACUUGGGACUCUGGGUUCUUUGUAUUUGCAUUGAUACUGGAGGACUUCAGGGUUCUUCCCAUCAGCCUUCUUCCCGAAUACUUCCCUUUGGUCCUUAUUGGCAAACCCCUUCAAAUUCCAGGUGCUGGGGAAAGAAGUCACCCCUAAAUGAGGUGUCUAGUUAAGCAGAUCCACACCUACACAUGCUAAUACCUUCUAGGGCUGGAACUUUGCCAUUCACAGUCACAGAUAGCCACAAAGGACAUUUGAGGCUCACUAAUUCUGGAUUUACCUUCUUCUCUAACAAAUGGCAGUAUUUCAGACUGUUUAUUUAACACAGAGUGCAAUUUUAAAAGUUUUGACCCUUAGAGUAUAAUUUUGUGACUUCAUGCCCUUCUUUCUGGGCAGAAUAAACAAAAUAGGGAAAGGGCAAAUCUUGUAGGGGUUUUCCUGCCUUUUCUUAGAUGCCUAAUUUUUGCUUAUAAUAUUGUAGGGUGAGACUCACACAUAGGAACAAAGCAAAGCUUGCAUGGUUUUCUCUUGAACAGAGUUGCUUGUAUUUGUAUUUUUGGAAGCUGAAUAGUUAAAGUCCUGCUUUAUCAUUUCUCAGUUAACUUUAUUCUUUCUGCUUCAAGUUGGGAAAUGAAUUUUGUUGGCCAUGUGUUUAAAGUCUUGGGAAGAACCCUGGACUUGAUGGACCUGAAGAACCCAGAACUGUGCCUUGUGCACAUGCGUGUGUGGCAUGCACGCAUGUGUGUGGAGGGAGAGGGCUGUUGUUCCCAAAUUGACUUCUCUUUGCUUUUGUCGCAGCCUGAAAGUUUGAGUUGGUCUCAAGUGCUCUGCCACUUUGCCACUUUGAUGGAAUAGGCAUCAAGACAGAGGACAUAGCCAGGAUAGGAUGGAAAGAUAAAGCCAGAGGAGGAUGGAAGUGACCUAUCGGUAACAAAUUAUGGCUACAGUAUUUAAGAGAGAAGUAGGUCUUGAUAGAAAACCUGUUAAAGUGCUGUACAUUUAUCAAUCAUUGAUGGGAAUACUUAGUCCAAAAAAAGCCAAUACUUAAGAUUUUUCUUCUCAAUGUGUUAACAGACCAACUUCAAUAUUUGGCUUCUGAGAGUGACAUCAUAUUAAAGUUACCUCUUGUUUUUGGUACCAAGAAUUGAAGUCACCAUCUCACUCCCACCACGCAGGCACUUGCACUGCUGAGCUAAAUCCUGGGCCCUGAGUUACAUCAUAUUAAAUACUGCUAGAAAUAAGUGGGCUCUGCUAGGACUCUGGGAUUAUUUUUUGGGUCACUAUUAUAUUUGCUGUAAUGGAAUUUGAUUUUUCUAGAACUAAAAGUUCCUACAGCUUUAUUAAAGUCCAUACAUCUCUCAAAAUUUAGAAUUCACACUUAUUCUUGAAAACAAUAUAGAGAACUGUGUAGUUCACAUUUCAGAGGGUUGGAACAGAUUAAUCGUCUUCUCAUGAAGUCAUUCAGCCAGGGGUCCUGGACGUGAGCUGUGACUGCUUUUGGAAUAAGCAGCUCAGGGCAGAUGAAUAUGCAGAGGUAAUGGCAGGUCCCAGUGCAAGUGUGGUCAGCUUGGAGGGAGGCCUGAUGUUGAUGUCUAGGGGGACCCCACCCCUACCCCAAGGUGCCAAGAGGGUACCUAAAAGAGGUCCUAGCUUUUAACUUCCUUCUCUUUGCGACUGACAAUCUUUCUUUCAUGCUGCUUUCGCUGCUGUCUUUCAUCAUGAUUCUCCACUUACGGCGUCCACACAGUGUCUGUGAGGACGGUUGGAAAGGCACCACUUUCGGAGACCAUGCCAAUGGAGAGCAAGGCUGGCUCCACAUUCUAUCCCACGCACAGUGGCUCCUUCCCCUAAAUGAGCCUAUUUAAUGAGUCAAGAAUAUUCCAUUAACCAAACAAGUACGGCUGCCAGUUGGAAUGUUCCAAAGAAAAUAAAUGAAAACUUGUCUACUUUGUACUGUUUUGAUGGGCAAUCUUUUUAAAACAUCAUGGUGCCUGGUCUGUCUCCUCUCAGGUUGUAGUGUAUUAGAACAAAUUUACCCAGAGAGGCCUAGAAAUGUUUUCAUGCAAUAAUAAUUCACAGCUCAGUUUUUACAGUACUUUAUACUCCUCUCUUCUCAGUGCCUCCGGCAAUGUCUGGGAAGAAGUUAAAUGUUUAAAGAGAUGCAUUAACUCUUUGGAGCUACAGACUUGCAAAUCCAAACAGUGAAUGCAAUUACAAGAGCAAAGUCAUAUUAUUUUAAAAUAUAAUCUAUUGAGCCAACCUCAUAUAAAUGUGCUUGUGUUGCCUCCAGUGAGAAGUCUGUAUCAAGUGAGUUUGAAAAGGAAGAAGACUCCAAUAUUGUCAAAUGACCAAUAUCACAGUUUUUCCCCCCACUUCAGAAAAUUUUGAGUUCUCUUGGUAGAGAUAGGAUACUGGCAUGCAGUUGUCUCCUCUGUUCUGCUUCUUAUUGACCCACUACCAGGGGCUGCUGGCAGGCUGAGCUCCUUUCUGGAGGCUUAGGGAGGAAUCUACUUCCAAGCUUAGUUGGGUUAUUGGCAGAAUCGAGUUUCUUGUGGUUGCAGAACUGAGGUCCCCAUUUUCUUGCUGGUUGUUAUCUGCAAGCUGAGAUUGUUCUUAGAAGCUUCUCAGGAGAAAGUCCUGCCAAGGGAAAAAGUCUGUCAGAAUUUGAAAGAGGGGACCUAACACUUGUAAGUGUGGAGUCCUGAUCUCAGGGACCAUCAAGGGAUACCACACUUCUGAGUUUUUUGUUUGUUUGUUUUUAGUACAGUGUCUGGGUAAAUUGCCCAGGCUGGCUUCAAACUUGUGAUCCUCCUGCCUCGGUCUCCUGAUUAGCUGUAACUCAAGCAUCUGCAGCCACCCCCUGGUUACAUUCAUGGAUUUUUUAUGAAAUGUGUUUUUCUGGUUAGUUAUUAGAGGGUUCUUCUGGUUUGGCUCAAUUAUAUUAUGCUGUUCCCAAUGAGAAUCUUUGGUGUGAAGUUUUGUUUUGUUUUGUUAUAGUACUAGUGAUUGAACCCAGGAUCUUGCACAUGCCAUUCACGUGGUCUCACGUUGAGCUACUCUGCCCGCUCUAGAAGUGUUUUCAUCUGGAGGAUCAGAGCUCUUUGGGAAAACUGCAAAUACUACUAAACAUUAAAGCCUUUUAAGAUUAAAUCCCCCAUUAGACCAGAUAGUUUUAGAUUGCUUUUAAAACUAGUUUUAGGGGGCUGGGGAUUUAGCUUAGGGGCUGGGGAUUUAGCUCAGUGGUGUAAGUGCCUGCCUUGCAAGUGUGUGGUCAUGAGUUCCAUCCCUGGUACCGGUAAAAAAAAAAAAAAAAAAAAAAACUAGUUUUAGGAGUCUGGGAAGAUGGCGAACAAUAAGCAGCAGAGUAAACAACCUCUCUGCGUGAAACAGCCCAGAUUCUGGAAUAUAGCUUUCUGGAGAAGACAAAAAGGAAAGAAGUGGGUCCCCUUGACCGAGAAAGAAACUAAAGUGAGAAUUGAAGCUCACAGAAAUAAUAAAAAAAGAAAAAAAAAACUUAAAAGGAAGGCAGUAGCCAGCAGCGCCUUCACCAGAGCCAGUCCCACUGUGCAGUAAGCGCUGUGCACAGUCACAGUGCAGCUGGUGGCUGGCAAGCCUGAAGGCCUUGGUGGGGAGAUGCGGUGGCAGAGGGGAGCGGUGGACCAGAGGACUGCACUGGCUGGCGGUGAGUGUGGGGAACUGAGUCCUCCUGUGUGAGUGGGCAGUUGGUCAGGUACCAUUUUGGUGCUGGGCAGAAUAAACCUGGAACCAGAACUGCAGCCGGCUUUGUUCAGCCACUCCUCGCUUAAAGCAGACUGGUGGAAAUUGCUUGGACUGAGUCCCACCCCUGUGCAUAGUCCAGGAGCCACCCCUAGGUUGCCCUAACGCUAUCCCUAACCAACCCCACUCACCCAUGGCGAAAACUCCCUGUGGUUAACCAGCUCAGAAGGGGGAGGCCAGCCUGCCCCAUCCCUGCUUACAUGCCAGUAGUCACCAGCAGACUGGGAAAAGCAGCAAACAACACAAUUUGGAGGGGGGGUACUGGAGAUGGAACUCAUGACCUUACGCUUGCCAGGCAAGCACUUACGCUGCUGAGCUAAAUCCCCAGCCCAAAAGCAUCAAACAGCAAAAAAUUCCUAGCCAACACUCUUCAGAGUAAUUAUAACCAAUAUAGAAAUUGCCGGGGACUCCAUUACCCACUUGUCUGGAAGAAACCAGGAACAUGACAAGAGGAAGAAGCAAAAGGCAGUCUCUGGCCUCCAAACCAAGCAGUACUGGUCCAGGAGAGAUAAACACAGAAGGGAUUGGGAGCUGCACACCUGCAGUUUUUGAAGCAACAGCAACUGAAAAAAAAAAAAAAACUUAAUGAGGCUGUAAAAGAACUUACAACAGAAAUAUUACAGAUAAAAGAAGACAUAAGAAACAUAAUAAAAGAAUUGCUAAGCACCUUUAAAGAACACACAGAUGGAAGAGGAGCAUAGAAAAAGGAAGGAAACCUUCGAUGAAGAAUAUUUAAAAAAUUCGAAUACAUGAAACAGAUUCAGAGAUUACCAGGAAAUUAAAAACUCCAUUGAAAGGUGGCAAAACUGUUUGAAAGAAACUAAAGAUAGACUAUCAAACCUUGAAGACAGGUUUACAGCUUGCGAUCUUGUGAAAGGAAAGAUCUCUUAAAAAUAACAAGGAACCAGGAAGUAACAAUAUAAAGGCUAGAAGACGACAAGAGGAUCUAUAACUUAAGAAUAAAAAAUGUGAGUGAAGAAACAGGAGUAAACACAAAGGAACUACAAAGGCUAUUCACAGAAAUAAUAAAAGAAAACUUCCCAAACGUAGGAAAAGGAAAUGAUAUUCAGAUACAUGAGGCACACGGAACUCCAGCCAGCUAGAACCAAAACAGAUCUACACCCAGACAUAUAAUAAUCAAGAUCCCAGAAAUUCAAUACAAGACCAGAAUAUUAAAAGCUGUAGAGAAAAGAAACAGAUCACCUAUAAAGAAAAACUCAUCAGAAUCAUGACAGACUUUGUGACACAAAUCAUCAAAUCAAAAAGAUCUGGGAGUGAAGUAUUCCAAGUCCUGAAAGAAAAUAACCUCCAACGCAGAUUGAUGUACCCUGCAAAACUAUCUCUCAAAAUUAAUGAGGAGGGGCUGGGGUUUAGCUCAGCGGCAUAAGCACCUGCCUUGCAAGCAGGCGGUCACGAGUUCAAUCCCUGGUACCGAUAAAAAUGAAAAAAAAAAAAAAAGAAAAAAAAAUUAAUGAGGAAGCAAGAUGUUUACAAGACAAAGACAAACUCAGGGAGUUUGUAACCAAUCCAACGUACAAAAAAUACUGGACAUUCUAGAGAGGGAGAAAAAGAGACCAUGGUUUCAAGAACAGUGACAGAGGGGGCUCAGUGAAUGGGGCAGACAGUGGAAUGAAAAGGAAAAGUAGACAACGAACAACAGAAAAGUAGCAUGGCAGAGAUGAGGCGAAGGUUGGCCAUAAUCACUAAGAUGGAUAGCUUCGAUACACUAAUAAAAAGAAACACAGGCAGAGCAAAUCAGGAAAAAGGGUCCAUCAAUAUGCUCUAUAUAAGAAGUAUAAUUAACCUGAAAGAGGGUUUAUAAACUGAAAGCCAAGAUGAGAAAAUGAUGCUCUAUGUGACAGGGAACCAGAAAAAAGUGGGGGUAGCUUGCCCAUCAGCUGCAGAUUGGUUAGAAAGCCUCGACACAGUUAUACAAUGUAAAACUACUCAGCUAUAAAGAAGGAAAACCUUGAGGAUACAACUUGAGAUCAUGUGCAGGGGUAAAAAGUUUCAGAAUCACUUAGGUAAAUAGCAGGUUGCCUCCCUAAAUUAAAAACCUAAGGAGUUAGUGGAAUCCAAAAUGUAUAAUGCACCCUGUGAAAGUGAAAGGGGAGGAAUUGUCUAAAAAGGAAAAGCAGUGGCCAUUGUUAAUCUUUUAUCAUGAUUUGAAACCCGUAUUGUUUUCAUCUUUCUGUUUAGUUUGGUUUUAUUCUGUUCCAGUUUGUCUACUUGUACUAGAUGUGAUGGCGUGGACAGCUAUUCGAAAGAUAGCAGGAUACACUAUGGCACGGCUGCCCCAAGCGCCUGGUGAUGUCCUCCACAGAGCUUUUCCACAGGCCUGCAGAGGUGCGCUAGUUCCUGGCACUGCCGGUGCAGUUUUGUGGCUUAGCAGCUCUUCUCCAUCGCUGUGCAUGCCAGUUCUCUGAGUUGCUAACUUGCCCAGGCUGGGUUUGAACUUGUGAAACUCGUGCCUCAGCCUCCCAAUGUGCUGGGAUUCCAGCCGUACACCACAAUACCCAGCUUUACUGUGCAAUAUUUUGAAAGCCCACUUUCCUGUGCUGUUUGGGAGACUUCCUGUAGUCCUCUAAAGAAUCUGGAACAAGUUUCCUGAGCCACAGCUCUUUGUGGAGGACAUCAGUGCUGUUAUCUAGGAUCUGCUCCUUACAGGAUGUUGGGGAAAAGCAGAGGAGCUGUAGGACCUGGGAGGCUGUUGGAAACAUAGAAUCUGCACUCAAACCAAGUUCCCAG